CAUUAGCCUUUAUUCUCGCAG
rnacentral:siRNA from 1 species